UAAUACCGAAUAUGACCUUGCACCGCAUGGUGUUUGGUGGAAAGUUUUUCGGCUUGGGAUGGGCUCGCGGCCUAUCAGCUUGUUGGUGGGGUGAUGGCCUACCAAGGCGACGACGGGUAGCCGGCCUGAGAGGGCGACCGGCCACACUGGGACUGAGACACGGCCCAGACUCCUGACGGUGAGGCCGCAGUGGGGAAUAUUGCACAAUGGGCGGAAGCCUGAUGCAGCGACGCCGCGUGAGGGAUGACGGCCUUCGGGUUGUAAACCUCUUUCAGCAGGUACUAAGCGUAAGUGACGGUACCUGCAGAAUAAUCGCCGGUCCAACUACGUGCCAGCACCCGCGGUAACACUUGGGGCGCGCCCGUUCUCCGGAUUUAUUGGGCGUAAUUAGCUCGUAGGCGCCUUGUCGCGUCGACUGUGAAAACCCCCGCCUCAACUGCGGGCCUGCAGUCGAUCCGGGCAUGCUACAGUUCGGUAGGGGAGAGUGCAAUUCCUGUUGUAGCGCUGAUACGCUCACAUAUCUGGAGCACCACCGCUGCCGAAGGCGCCUCUAUGCGCCGAUACUGACGCUGAGUACCUAAAGCGUGCUGAGCAAUCAGCAUUACAUACCGUGAUACCCCACGCUCUAACGUAGGGCGCUCGCUGUGAAGCGCCUGCUCGGCUCCCUGUGCCUCAGCUGUUUCAUUAAGCGCCCCGCCCAGGGAGUACGACCGCAUGUCUACAACUCAAAGCAGUUGACGGUGCCCC
rnacentral:rRNA from 1 species